UCCUACGGGAGGCAGCAGUGGGGAAUAUUGCACAAUGGCCGCAGGCUUGAUGCAGCGACGCCGCGUGAGGGAUGACGGCCUUCGGGUUGUAAACCUCUUUCAAUAGGGACGAAGCGCGAGUGACGGUACCUUAUAGAAGAAGCACCCGGCCAACUACGUGCCAGCAGGCCGCGGUUAAUACGUAGGGUGCGAGCGUUGUCCCGGAAUUUACUGGGCGUAAAGAGCUCGUAGGGUGGUUUGUCGCGUUGUUCGUGAAAACUCACAGCUUAACUGUGGGCGUGCGGGCGAUACGGGCAGACUGGAGUACUGCAGGGGAGACUGGAAUUCCUGGUGUAGCGGUGGAAUGCGCAGAUAUCAGGAGGAACACCGGUGGCGAAGGCGGGUCUCUGGGCAGUAACUGACGCUGAGGAGCGAAAGCGUGGGGAGCGAACAGGAUUAGAUACCCUGGUAGUCCACGCCGUAAACGGUGGGUACUAGGUGUGGGUUCCUUCCUUGGGAUCCGUGCCGUAGCUAACGCAUUAAGUACCCCGCCUGGGGAGUACGGCCGCAAGGCUAAAACUCAAAGGAAUUGACGGGGGCCCGCACAAGCGGCGGAGCAUGUGGAUUAAUUCGAUGCAACGCGAAGAACCUUACCUGGGUUUGACAUGCACAGGACGCCAGUAGAGAUAUUGGUUCCCUUGUGGCCUGUGUGCAGGUGGUGCAUGGCUGUCGUCAGCUCGUGUCGUGAGAUGUUGGGUUAAGUCCCGCAACGAGCGCAACCCUUGUCCUAUGUUGCCAGCGGGUUAUGCCGGGGACUCGUAGGAGACUGCCGGGGUCAACUCGGAGGAAGGUGGGGAUGACGUCAAGUCAUCAUGCCCCUUAUGUCCAGGGCUUCACACAUGCUACAAUGGCCGGUACAAAGGGCUGCGAUGCCGUGAGGUGGAGCGAAUCCUUUCAAAGCCGGUCUCAGUUCGGAUCGGGGUCUGCAACUCGACCCCGUGAAGUCGGAGUCGCUAGUAAUCGCAGAUCAGCAACGCUGCGGUGAAUACGUUCCCGGGCCUUGUACACACCGCCCGUCACGUCAUGAAAGUAGGUAACACCCGAAGCCCGGGAGAUGUUUGAUACCUGGCUCAGACUUUGACUGUUAAGGCCUCCCG
rnacentral:rRNA from 1 species